rnacentral:lncRNA from 1 species
CUGGGAAGGGGGAGAAAAAACUGGGAAAGGCUGGGAAGAGAGGUAGAAAGGGAGAGAAAAUUGGAGGAGAAGAGAAAAGGGGGGAGAGAGACAGUAGGAAGAUUAAUAGAGGGAAGAGGAAGAGGAGGAAUUAGAGUGAAAUAGGGAGGAGAGAUUGAGAGGGAAGGGAGAAGGAAGACAGAGGAGGAGGUAGGAAGAGAGGAGAUGAGCCUUCGAAAGCAGGGAGGUGAAGAAAUGGUAGUAAAGGUGAGGAGAGACAGAGAGCAAGGUGAGGACUAGACCUCAGUGAAUUCCCAGGUUUGGCAGGGGAGUAGCAGGAAAGAAGGACCCUAGAGAAGCCAGCAGGAACAGGGUCAGGAAAGCCAGGGGAGGGAAAAGUAUAAAGAAAAGGGGCAAGGGCAGCAGGGUCCCAAGGUUGGUACAGACAUGGGGGUAGGAGGAGGCCCAGGAGGGGAGUUAGUGGAUACAUCUCUCCCAUCCUCCCUUCCCAUCUCCCUCCCUCAGGUCCAGCCACACUGAUCUCCUUAGUUCUUCCUUGACUUUAGCAGGCAGCCUCCUGCCUUAGGACAUUCUUUCCCCUCAGUGGGAUGCUCUUACCCCAAAUAUAUACAUUGCUUGUUUCUUUACCCCCUUCAGGUUGUUGAAAUAUUUCCUCAGCAAGGCCUACCCUGAUCACCCUAUUUCAAAUCCCC